rnacentral:rRNA from 1 species
GAUGAACGCUGGCGGCGUGCCUAACACAUGCAAGUCGAACGGACGGACGAGAAGCGCGCUGUUCUGAUGUUAGCGGCGGACGGGUGAGUAACGCGUGGAUAACCUUCCAAUAAGACUGGGAUAACUGCGGGAAGCCGGAGAUAAUACCGGAUAAUAUUUUGAACGGCAUGGUUCAAAAGUGAUUGAGGGUUUGGCUGUCACUUAGAGAUGGAUCCGCGCUGCAUUAGUUAGUUGGUAAGGUAACGGCUUACCGAGGCAACGAUGCAUAGCCGACCGGAGAGGGGGAUCGGCCACACUGGAACUGAGACACGGUCCAGACUCCUACGGGAGGCAGCAGUAGGGAAUCUUGCGCAAUGGGCGAAAGCCUGACGGAGCAACGCCGCGUGGGUGAUGAAGGUCUUCGGAUCGUAAAACUCUGUUAUUGGUGAAGAACAUAUGUGUAAGUAACUGUGCACUUCUUGACGGUACCUAAACAAAAAGCCCCGGCUAACUACGUG